UCUGAGAAAAUAAGGCUGAGGUUGUUAUUAGUUGCAAGGGAUCGGUUGAGAUGCAUUUUGACGAAAGCAGGAUUAAUUAUAAGAGCACACCAGGGUUUGCAUACGCACUUGAAUCUUAGAAGAGACUUGACUGGAAGCCU